UACGUAGGUGGCAAGCGUUGUCCGGAUUUAUUGGGCGUAAAGCGCGCGCAGGCGGUUCGUUAAGUUCGAGGUGAAAUCUCCUGGCUCAACUGGGAGGGGUCUUCGGAUACUGGCGGACUUGAGGAGAGCAGAGGUGAGCGGAAUUCUCGGUGUAGUGGUGAAAUGCGUAGAUAUCGAGAGGAACACCAGCGGCGAAGGCGGCUCACUGGGCUCCACCUGACGCUGAGGCGCGAAAGCGUGGGGAGCGAACCGG
rnacentral:rRNA from 1 species